rnacentral:tRNA from 1 species
CAGGAAGUAGUUUAAGUAGAAUAUCAGCUUUGG